GAAGCCUCACACAGCGACUCUAAAUCAACUGUGGAGUCUUACCAUAGGUAAAGACAAUACCGCUGAAAUGCUGUGAUCACGAAAGUGUACCAGCAGCCUAAUCCAGGCCCACAGAUCAAGUGGCGGUGGUCUUAGCUACACAGCUUUAGACUAUAAUAUGACCGGUUCUUAUCCUAACGGUUAAGAGCUUUAACGUU
rnacentral:rRNA from 1 species